rnacentral:rRNA from 1 species
AGAGUUUGAUCCUGGCUCAGGACGAACGCUGGCGGCGUGCUUAACACAUGCAAGUCGAACGGGAUCUGCGUGGCCUUUGUGGUUGUGUGGUGAGAGUGGCGAACGGGUGAGUAACACGUGAGUAACCUGCCUUUUUCUUUGGGAUAACGCUCAGAAAUGGGUGCUAAUACUGGAUGUUCUGCGCUUUCCGCAUGGGGGGUGUGGGAAAGGGGCUUUUUAAGUUUCUGGAGGGAGAUGGGCUCGCGGCUUAUCAGCUUGUUGGUGGGGUGAUGGCUUACCAAGGCUUUGACGGGUAGCCGGCCUGAGAGGGUGGGCGGUCACAUUGGGACUGAGAUACGGCCCAGACUCCUACGGGAGGCAGCAGUGGGGAAUUUUGCACAAUGGGGGGAACCUUGAUGCAGCGACGCCGCGUGAGGGAUGGAGGCCUUCGGGUUGUGAACCUCUUUCGCUCGUGUGCAAGCCGCUAUUUGGGUAGUGGUGAGUGUAGCGGGUAAAGAAGCGCCGGCUAACUACGUGCCAGCAGCCGCGGUAAUACGUAGGGCGCGAGCGUUGUCCGGAUUUAUUGGGCGUAAAGGGCUUGUAGGCGGUUUGUCGCGCCUGUCGUGUAAUCCUCUGGCUUAACUGGGGGUGUGCGGUGGGUACGGGCAGGCUUGAGUGCGGUAGGGGAGAUUGGAAUUCCUGGUGUAGCGGUGGAAUGCGCAGAUAUCAGGAGGAACACCGGUGGCGAAGGCGGGUCUCUGGGCCGUUACUGACGCUGAGGAGCGAAAGCGUGGGGAGCGAACAGGAUUAGAUACCCUGGUAGUCCACGCCGUAAACG